UACGAAGGGUGCAAGCGUUAAUCGGAAUUACUGGGCGUAAAGCGUGCGUAGGCGGUUUCUUAAGUCCGUUGUGAAAGCCCUGGGCUCAACCUGGGAACUGCGAUGGAUACUGAGGAGCUGGAGUACGGUAGAGGAAGGUGGAAUUCCCGGUGUAGCGGUGAAAUGCGUAGAGAUCAUGAGGAAGACCAGUGGCGAAGGCGGGUCUCUGGACAGUUCCUGACACUGAGGCACGAAGGCCAGGGGAGCAAACGGG
rnacentral:rRNA from 1 species